rnacentral:lncRNA from 1 species
GUUUGAAAAGCACUAAAUGGAUGAUGUGGAAAAGUGAAAUAAUAAUAUUGCAGAUGCAGGCAUGAAAUCUGGAUUAAUAUUUUUGGGGGAGUCAAAGUAAGCUGCACUGGAAAGACUGAAAGCAAACAAACAAACAAACAAAAAACAAAAAACAGAAAAACAAAACAAAACAGAACAAAGCAAAAACAACAGAUGGUCCAUCUGGAUUGGACAGGAGAUUUUCACUUGAAGGCUCCACCAGUCCUCUUUCUAUUAAGUGGGCUAAUUGGGAAGUAUUAUUGAGCUGCUGUGGUGACCAGUGUGGAGUAGAGCCUUAACCUAGAUGGAGAGAUUCUGUAUAAGCAUCUUCUGAAUGGGAGAGGUCUGUCCAUCCAGUCAGAAGCAGCAGGAGACAGGACGAGAGACAGGGCUGGAGAUGACCUACAGUGCAUGCCUGAAAGGUUCAUGUGGAAGGAAGACUGCUCUGCUCCUAUCUCCACCAAAGGUCCUGGUCUGGGUUUUAAAAACCUGAAUAAAUAUUGUGUGUAGGAUAUGGUGUCCUUGUUUCACACUGCCAUCCAUGGGAGCUGAAGACAUGCACGCCAUAGAAGAAGUGCUCAGAAGUUCAUAGGCUCCAGUCCUUCUUGUCUAAAUGCAAAGUGCAUUAGGUGACAAUGCCUGUACAUGUACAAUGUCAUACUCAUGUGGACUUACCCUCUAGUUCCUACUUCUACAAGAAAAGACAUAUCGGCCCACCAUUGCAUAUACUGUGAUAUUCUGGCUUCUUCUUGUAGAAGUGCUAGUUUUGUUUAGGUGCAACAGUGGCAUGAGUUGUUCUUUAAGAUCCCUGCUGCUUUUAAUAACCAUUUGGAUACCAGUCUUUCAAAGACCAAUAGCAAGUUCAACUGUCCCCGCCAAAAUCCCUAACCUUGGUAAACAUUAAAAUAACCAGCAAAAUAAAAGUCUUCAACCUUGUCA